rnacentral:tRNA from 1 species
GGGCCCGUAGCUUAGCUUGGUCAAAGCGCUCGGCUGAUAACCGAGAGAGCAUGAGUUCAAAUCUCAUCGGGCCCACCA